rnacentral:rRNA from 1 species
UACGGGGGGGGCAAGCGUUGUUCGGAAUUACUGGGCGUAAAGGGCUCGUAGGCGGCCAACUAAGUCGGAUGUGAAAUCCCCAGGCUCAACCUGGGAACUGCAUCCGAUACUGGAUGGCUUGAAUUCGGGAGAGGGAUGCAGAAUUCCAGGUGUAGCGGUGAAAUGCGUAGAUAUCUGGAGGAACACCUGUGGCGAAGGCGGCCCCCUGGUUGGAUACUGACGCUGAUACGCGAAAGCGUGGGGAGCAAACAGG